GCUGGGCAUUGUGGUGCACACCUGUAGUCCUAGCUACUUGGGAGGCUGAGGUGGGAGGAUCACUUGAGCCUAGGAGUUCAAGGUUGCAGUGAGCUAUGAUUAUGCCACUGCACUCCAGCCUGGGCAAUAGAGUGAGAGCCUGUCUCAA
rfam:Homo sapiens chromosome 8, GRCh38 reference primary assembly.